rnacentral:lncRNA from 10 species
GGCAGCCAGCGGCAGGGAGGCAGGCCCAGCCGGGGACUGGAGCCGGGGACUGGAGCCGGCUCCUCACAGGGGACCAGGAGUGUGUCGCCAGGCCCUCCCACUGAGGCCCAGCACCGGGAGCCCCUGGGACACCCCACCCUCCUCCGCCUUUCUCUUCCACCUGCUCCUCUCCAUCCUCCUCUCCCUCCUCCCUAUCUCUCCACCUCAUUUGCCCCCUUCUUGGCCUCUCCGGGUCUCCCAGCUCUCCAUCCUCCCCAGCUCUCCACUCCCGGGCUCUCCCCGCCCCCAGCAUGCUUUUCCCGUGGGGGCUGAGGGCUUGAGGACUCCGGGCCCUUGCCUCAACCAGGGCAGGGCCCAGGCUCCAGGGGGGAGGGGGAAAGGGGGCGGCCCCCUCCCCCAGCAGGCCCUCCCCUCCCCCACUUCUCCUGAUGGCCGGCUUCCUUUUCUCCACCCAGUCCUCGCCCCCUGUGGCCCCCCCAGGCCGGCCCGGCUAGG